AUUCUUUUCAUGCUAAAUAAUACUCCAUGAACACCCUUUCAGCCAACGCAGACAGUUUAUGGUCUACACUUUGUAUCAAAUUGAAACAUAGUGUUGUAUUUAUUGAUAAUGUAUCUUCUGAAAUCCUCCAUUGGAAUGGUGGCCUCACAAGAAUUGUAAAAGCUGGAGUUAAUGAUGUUAGAGAGUUUUCUUCUUUUGAGAGAGCUCUUCCUUCUCAGAAGAAAGGUGUUUUCAUUGUGAGCUCACUUCUUCAAAAUGUAACGGCUGCUGUCAUCCAAGAUAUAAUCCAAUCCAGCCAAUUUCAAUAUGUAAUUAUUAUCACAACUGUCAGCCCCUAUACUCAUGCCCUGUGCAAAAGCAGUAUCCAGGGAGCUGAUUUACCCAAUUCAGCGGGACAACAAAUAUUUCACCAGUUUGAAGACAAUGUAUUGGAGUGGCUUGGAAAUCUUAAUUAUACAGUCGAAAUCACUCAUGUUCCAUUAUCCACAAUAACCGUGGGGGAAAAUCUCUUCAUAAACCCCGCAUAUACUGAGAUGUUCCCUUUAUCAAAAGCAGAUGUGAAAGAGAUUGAUCUACGUAUUCGAGCUGCAAGACCAGAGAAAACAACGAGCUGUCUUCCAGAUUUGGAAAUUUCACAGUUGCCAAGAAAUUUACAAACAUUAUACAAAAUGUUUGUGUCAUCAUUUAAUGACAUUUUGGAACAACUCUCCGUAAAAGAAGACAUCUAUUCCGUUGGACAUACCAGUCGAUGUAUUGCUAUGGAAUUAGAAAACUAUGGACCUGCAAAAUCUCGACGAAAAAAUUGUGCCAGUAAAGCAUCGGUUAUUUUUGUGGAUCGUUCUUUGGACAUUGUUGGUGCUGUUGGUCAUCAGACAGAAACUCUCUUUGAUAAAAUAUUGUCAAUUUUACCUUCAUUACCUGGACACAUCAUUGACCGUAAUAUAAACAUGGAAUCCAUGAGGCCAGAUUCAAAUGUUUCAGAAAAACCAGUAUCUUCUGAUGAACCUGCCAUUGCUCCAGGAUGUUUGGUUUCUGCUUAUGAUGAGAAUGAAAGGGAUCUCAUUAAUAUUCUUAUAAAAAAUAAUCAAAAGGAAGCAAUGUCAGAAAUUAACGCCAGUGUUCUUCAAGCUGCAGUGGAAGAAAAGCUCCCCGUUAAAGUCGCUGUGAAUCGAAACAUUGUUGACAGUAUAAAAUCAACACUUAAUUUGUUCAAGGGAAGAUAUGAUGUGAUUCAAAAACAUUUGGCAGCAAUACAAGUUGCUUUGGCUGCUGUACAAAUGUCAAACCAUCCAUCUAAUAGUCAUUUUAAACAUCUUCAAGGAAUGGAAAAAGUUAUUUUACAAACUACUGCUGAAAAGAAUGUCUCUCCUUUGAGUGAAAUCUCUGAAAUAUUACGGAUGUGUCAAAGCGAACGACAUAAACCUCAUGAAGGAAGAUUAUACAGUCUAGAUGACAUAUGGUGUCUCCUUCUUUAUUGUUAUUCAUUGGCUGGGAAAGAUCGUUAUUUAUGGACAAAAGAAGAACAAGGCUUGCAGGCAGGCAUUGUGAAAGAAAUCCUGAUAGAGUUGAAGAAUUUACCUCCGAUAACAAAAGCACUUGUUAAAGAUAACCAUACUGAAGGUACAGUGUCUGUGAUAGUCCAAGGUGUGUGGGAAAAAUUGAAAGGCCUUGGUGAUGCAAGAGAAGACCUCAAGCAGUUUAGUUCUGUUCUUAAGGCAGGAGAUGAAAGCAGUCCCCCUCAUUACAAAUCCAUCUUGAGACAAAUAGUUGAAUUAGUAUUUGAUCCAAAUAAAGUUGACUUGGUUGAUGUUGAAUGUAAAACUGGUGGCCUCAAAGAUCUUCUGAAAACUGGUUUUGGGCUCUUUAUGAAUAUCUCAAAACCAAGACCCAAUGACCACCCCCUCUUGAUAAUAUACGUAAUUGGAGGAAUCACCACAACUGAAGUCAAACAAAUUAAAGACAUGAUGGCAUCUCUAAAGACAGAUACAAAGAUUUUAUUUGGGAGUACACAGCUUGUGAAUCCACUCAGUCUUGCGAUGUCAGUCUUAUGUGAAAAUAGAAUGAACCCUUGUAUAUAAAAAAAAAAAAUAAUAAAGGAAGAAAUUUCUAAAUACAUAUACACAUAUAUGUACAUGUGUAAUAAAACAAAAGGUCUUUCUAGAGUGAGAUUUACCAGAAAAUACUUACUAAAGGAUUCAGAAAUGAUAUGCCAUCAUAUGUGUAUGAUUAACUUUCUUCCAUUGCUUUUAUAUCCUGGGCAAAUCCUUUUCCUUGUUCUUUGCUUAAAUCACCAAUCUUUUGUGGAAAGUAAUUAAAAAGUGAUUAUGGAGCUAAUGACACCUGAUGCUCCACGUUACAGCCAAUCUUAUUAAAAUUGGAGAGCAUACCCUUUACUGAUUAACUCUUUUGAUACCAUCUCUCUGUUGAAAUAUACUGCUUUCUUAGUUGUACAUUUUGAGGUGGAUUUUUGCUUUGUUUUUGUGGAUGUUAUAUAAUAGAUGAGUUUUUGUGGCUAUAGGAAGGAUGACAAUAUUAUUUCAAUGUAUUUUGAGAUUUGAGGUUUAAUUGGUGAUAGGGGAUGGUUGAUUUCCUAAUUCUAAAUAUGCAUUAUUAGGGUCUGUUCAUGCAGUUGCUCAAAGGAUUUUAUGAGGUGAGCAUAUAAUUAAUUUUGAUGAGUUGUUCAUCAUUAUUUAAGCUGAUGUUUAGAACAUGAAUUAAUAAGAAAUUUUGAUGGAAAGUUUUGAUUUAGAUCACUUUAAAACAAUUUUGUAUUAAUGAACUGGGAGGUGGUGUCAGGUAGGAUGGUAUCAAAGGAUUUCAGUAACUUAUUGCUGCAGGAUUACCAAGAAAUUGUUUGACAAGACUCUCAGUAUUGCCCACUGAAUCUAUGAAAUAUGAAUUUUUUUAUAACAUCUCUUAUAUGGCACCAUCAAAAAACAUUGUUUCAAAUUUUUCUGUGGGUCAGUCUAUGGAAUUUACUGCAAAAGCAAACACUGUCUUUGUUCAUUACCUUUACUCUUUGUGCUGAAAAUAAACUGAUAUAAUA